AGCUUCCUAGUACUUAGCACAGGCUGUGUUCUUACACUGACUGCACAGAAAGAGGAGAUGGAGUAAACCCCAUCCACACUCCAGCCCAGGCCCUGUGCCUCAUUUGUAUUUUGAAUAGGGAAAUGUGG
ensembl:snoRNA